rnacentral:rRNA from 1 species
UUAAGCGACUAAGCGUACACGGUGGAUGCCCUGGCAGUCAGAGGCGAUGAAGGACGUGCUAAUCUGCGAUAAGCGUCGGUAAGGUGAUAUGAACCGUUAUAACCGGCGAUUUCCGAAUGGGGAAACCCAGUGUGUUUCGACACACUAUCAUUAACUGAAUCCAUAGGUUAAUGAGGCGAACCGGGGGAACUGAAACAUCUAAGUACCCCGAGGAAAAGAAAUCAACCGAGAUUCCCCCAGUAGCGGCGAGCGAACGGGGAGCAGCCCAGAGCCUGAAUCAGUGUGUGUGUUAGUGGAAGCGUCUGGAAAGGCGCGCGAUACAGGGUGACAGCCCCGUACACAAAAAUGCACAUACUGUGAGCUCGAUGAGUAGGGCGGGACACGUGGUAUCCUGUCUGAAUAUGGGGGGACCAUCCUCCAAGGCUAAAUACUCCUGACUGACCGAUAGUGAACCAGUACCGUGAGGGAAAGGCGAAAAGAACCCCGGCGAGGGGAGUGAAAAAGAACCUGAAACCGUGUACGUACAAGCAGUGGGAGCACGCUUCGGCGUGUGACUGCGUACCUUUUGUAUAAUGGGUCAGCGACUUAUAUUCUGUAGCAAGGUUAACCGAAUAGGGGAGCCGAAGGGAAACCGAGUCUUAACUGGGCGUUAAGUUGCAGGGUAUAGACCCGAAACCCGGUGAUCUAGCCAUGGGCAGGUUGAAGGUUGGGUAACACUAACUGGAGGACCGAACCGACUAAUGUUGAAAAAUUAGCGGAUGACUUGUGGCUGGGGGUGAAAGGCCAAUCAAACCGGGAGAUAGCUGGUUCUCCCCGAAAGCUAUUUAGGUAGCGCCUCGUGAACUCAUCUUCGGGGGUAGAGCACUGUUUCGGCAAGGGGGUCAUCCCGACUUACCAACCCGAUGCAAACUGCGAAUACCGGAGAAUGUUAUCACGGGAGACACACGGCGGGUGCUAACGUCCGUCGUGAAGAGGGAAACAACCCAGACCGCCAGCUAAGGUCCCAAAGUCAUGGUUAAGUGGGAAACGAUGUGGGAAGGCCCAGACAGCCAGGAUGUUGGCUUAGAAGCAGCCAUCAUUUAAAGAAAGCGUAAUAGCUCACUGGUCGAGUCGGCCUGCGCGGAAGAUGUAACGGGGCUAAACCAUGCACCGAAGCUGCGGCAGCGACACUAUGUGUUGUUGGGUAGGGGAGCGUUCUGUAAGCCUGUGAAGGUGUGCUGUGAGGCAUGCUGGAGGUAUCAGAAGUGCGAAUGCUGACAUAAGUAACGAUAAAGCGGGUGAAAAGCCCGCUCGCCGGAAGACCAAGGGUUCCUGUCCAACGUUAAUCGGGGCAGGGUGAGUCGACCCCUAAGGCGAGGCCGAAAGGCGUAGUCGAUGGGAAACAGGUUAAUAUUCCUGUACUUGGUGUUACUGCGAAGGGGGGACGGAGAAGGCUAUGUUGGCCGGGCGACGGUUGUCCCGGUUUAAGCGUGUAGGCUGGUUUUCCAGGCAAAUCCGGAAAAUCAAGGCUGAGGCGUGAUGACGAGGCACUACGGUGCUGAAGCAACAAAUGCCCUGCUUCCAGGAAAAGCCUCUAAGCAUCAGGUAACAUUAAAUCGUACCCCAAACCGACACAGGUGGUCAGGUAGAGAAUACCAAGGCGCUUGAGAGAACUCGGGUGAAGGAACUAGGCAAAAUGGUGCCGUAACUUCGGGAGAAGGCACGCUGAUAUGUAGGUGAAGUCCCUCGCGGAUGGAGCUGAAAUCAGUCGAAGAUACCAGCUGGCUGCAACUGUUUAUUAAAAACACAGCACUGUGCAAACACGAAAGUGGACGUAUACGGUGUGACGCCUGCCCGGUGCCGGAAGGUUAAUUGAUGGGGUUAGCGGUAACGCGAAGCUCUUGAUCGAAGCCCCGGUAAACGGCGGCCGUAACUAUAACGGUCCUAAGGUAGCGAAAUUCCUUGUCGGGUAAGUUCCGACCUGCACGAAUGGCGUAAUGAUGGCCAGGCUGUCUCCACCCGAGACUCAGUGAAAUUGAACUCGCUGUGAAGAUGCAGUGUACCCGCGGCAAGACGGAAAGACCCCGUGAACCUUUACUAUAGCUUGACACUGAACAUUGAGCCUUGAUGUGUAGGAUAGGUGGGAGGCUUUGAAGUGUGGACGCCAGUCUGCAUGGAGCCGACCUUGAAAUACCACCCUUUAAUGUUUGAUGUUCUAACGUUGACCCGU